rnacentral:tRNA from 1 species
GGGAGAUUAGCUCAGUUGGUUUAGAGCGUCUGCCUUACAAGCAGAGGGUCGGGGGUUCGACUCCCUCAUCUCCCACCA